AUUGAACGCUGGCGGCAUGCCUUACACAUGCAAGUCGAACGGUAACGCGGGGCAACCUGGCGACGAGUGGCGAACGGGUGAGUAAUGCAUCGGAACGUGCCCAGUUGUGGGGGAUAACUGCUCGAAAGAGCAGCUAAUACCGCAUACGACCUGAGGGUGAAAGCGGGGGAUCGCAAGACCUCGCGCAAUUGGAGCGGCCGAUGUCGGAUUAGCUAGUUGGUGGGGUAAAGGCCCACCAAGGCGACGAUCCGUAGCUGGUCUGAGAGGACGACCAGCCACACUGGGACUGAGACACGGCCCAGACUCCUACGGGAGGCAGCAGUGGGGAAUUUUGGACAAUGGACGCAAGUCUGAUCCAGCCAUGCCGCGUGCGGGAAGAAGGCCUUCGGGUUGUAAACCGCUUUUGUCAGGGAAGAAAUCUUCUGAGUUAAUACCUCGGGAGGAUGACGGUACCUGAAGAAUAAGCACCGGCUAACUACGUGCCAGCAGCCGCCGUAA
rnacentral:rRNA from 1 species